AACCUGCUGGAUAUUUUCAUAGAGAUGGAGAAGAGGGUCAUCCUGGGAGAAGGAAAGUUGGACAUCCUGAAAAGAGUCUGUGCCCAAAUCAACAAGAGCCUGCUGAAGAUAAUCAACGACUAUGAAGAAUUCAGCAAAGACUUUGGACAAAGUUUACCAAAUGAAAAGCAAACCUCGGGGAUACUGUCUGAUCAUCAACAAUCACAAUUUUGCAAAAGCACGGGAGAAAGUGCCCAAACUUCACAGCAUUAGGGACAGGAAUGGAACACACUUGGAUGCAGGGUUUGAGAAUGUUUUUAGCUGGUGGC
rnacentral:lncRNA from 1 species